rnacentral:rRNA from 1 species
GAUGAACGCUGGCGGCGUGCCUAAUACAUGCAAGUCGAGCGAACGGACGAGAAGCUUGCUUCUCUGAUGUUAGCGGCGGACGGGUGAGUAACACGUGGAUAACCUACCUAUAAGACUGGGAUAACUUCGGGAAACCGGAGCUAAUACCGGAUAAUAUUUUGAACCGCAUGGUUCAAAAGUGAAAGACGGUCUUGCUGUCACUUAUAGAUGGAUCCGCGCUGCAUUAGCUAGUUGGUAAGGUAACGGCUUACCAAGGCAACGAUGCAUAGCCGACCUGAGAGGGUGAUCGGCCACACUGGAACUGAGACACGGUCCAGACUCCUACGGGAGGCAGCAGUAGGGAAUCUUCCGCAAUGGGCGAAAGCCUGACGGAGCAACGCCGCGUGAGUGAUGAAGGUCUUCGGAUCGUAAAACUCUGUUACUAGGGAAGAACAUAUGUGUAAGUAACUGUGCACAUCCUGACGGUACCUAAUCAGAAAGCCACGGCUAACUACGUG